CUUGAACAAAUGCUCAGAGUUGCAACAUUCUUAUUCACCUGCUUUCCUUCCUUGACUUCUGCAUACAAAGUAUCUAUAUAACAACAUGACAACUUAAUGCUACUGAGAUUGAAGUUACUUUGCUCGGAAAUUAUCAAUUUUAUCAUUUUAUACGGCGUAUCUCAGAUAUAACAUCUUACAAAAAUAGAGGUUACAAGACCACAUCCAAUUCCCAAAUUUUGAAGGCACACAUUUACAUAUUGCAGAAGUAUGUAUACAUGGAAUAAAUCUGACCCCCCUAUAACAUGUGUAUCAGUUGUUGUAUCAUUAGUGUAUUGAAGAUUGAAGUGAAAACCAUUACACAACAGAGAUAAAAACUACCUUUCUAAGAGUAGAAGUAGAAACUCCUUGUCUUGGUUCCCUCAAGUAUCCGAGUAACGUUUAUGCUUGCCAAAAAUAACCAUGCCCUAUUAAGAUUGUACAACGACAGAAUUAUAAUUGAAUACUACAAAUUGAAAAGUUGUGUUACCAAAAUUUCAAAUAGAUGCAACAAUAAUAACAAGUGCUGAUAUACAAUAGCUGACCAAUAAAAGUAACAACAUAUACAACUCUAUCAAAUCAAAAUAGCUGAACAAGUCAAUAAUUUAUAAUGCCAAAGCAAAAAAAUAAGGAAUUUUCAAUAUUGUUGAUCAACUAUAAGCAUAGAUACAGUUUGGUUUCUUAGACUAAAAAUGGGUUGGCAGUGACUCUUCAAAUAUGUUCAUCUUCCUCAAUCUUAUUUUCAAUGUCGUAUUCACCUAAUACUUCAUCAAUUUUAUCCUCCCGACUCAAAAAUUAUAUCAUUCACAUCAUCAAAGAAUUGAUCUAAGUCUUGCACUGGAAAUGGCUCAUUCUUAGGAAUUUCAUUCUCUCCUUCUCCCAUUUCAUACUAGUCUCUUGGUUUCAAGUGAACAACAGUACUCCAUCCUUUAUUCACCUCAUCAUCCACAUAAUAUACCAUUUAAGCUUGUGAAGCUUCAAUAUAUGGAGUAUGUUCUUCACGAUCACCAAUGUGAAUCAAUUGUGAAAAAUUAACAGAAGGAAAUCCUCAUGCAUCCUUUCUAAACUUUCUAUCCCUAGUUGUGUCAGCCCAUUUACACUUAAAUAGUGUAACCCUAAAUUGAUAGUAGUUAAGCACAAUGAUAUCUUCUAAUUUGCCAUAAUAUGGCAAAUCUGCUUGCCUCAAAUUUCCAUCAGCACCACUAUCAAUACAAGAUGUGGACGAAGUAAAAAAAACCUACUGUUUUGCAUUUUCAACCCAUGCUCUUGAGUUGUUGUUCGAAAUUUGAACUCAUUGAUAUUAAAUGAUGUAAACCUUGUAGCAUAUGGUGCUGACCAUCUGCUAAAAACAUUAGUCUAUGACACACAAUAUUUGAAAUGUCUGGAUUAACAAUCUGAAACAAGAAUGUAAAAUGUGUUAGUCACAAAUUUAAAGUUAUAAAAUUCUAAUACAUUUGUAACCAACCUUCGAGGAAACCAAUCAAUAAAGUUUUUACUAACUAUUUUCUCUAUCUCCGCGUUUGAAGGCUUUCGACCCUUCCACCGCCUCUGCACAUAAGAUUUAAAUUCACUACAUGAGAUUUUGAUAUAUAUAUAUAUAUAUAUAUAACAAUUAACAUAUGUUUUCAUGUAUUUAAUGCAUGUUUUAUUUAGAUUUGCCUUACAUACUCACGUAAUGAAUGGCAUGACUUGUGGACAAUUUAGUAACACAUAUCGAUGUGCUUGACGUUUUGCCAUAGGUGACAAUUCAAAUGUUAUAGCUCCUAGUCCUUUACCAACUGGUGGGAAAAUACUAGAUGAAUUCGCCGAGCCUCUAUCUUCCGGAAAAUCGUCAACACGGCGUGGCCUAUUAAAUCUUGUCUCAAUCCCUUUAAUAUACUGGGAACAAAAAGUAAGAGCCUCUUCAGCUAGAUAUCCUUCAGCUAUAGAAUCUUCUGGUUAUGACAUGUUUCGCACAUAGGAUUUGAAGUGUCCCAAAUACCUAAACGAAAGAUCAAAAAUUAGUUGAUGGAUACAAAUUAACAUCUAUUCUUAAUGAACAAGCUCCAAUCAAGCAAUAAGAAAUAUUGUUUACCUCUCGAUAGGAUACAUCCACUGACAUUGUUGAGGUCCCCAAGUUUUGCUUCACCGGCUAGAUGACAAGUUAAAUGAACCAUGAUUGUAAAGAAUUUAGGAGGGAAUAACAUUUCCCGGUGAUUCAUGGUGAUAAAAUACCGAGACUGGAGCCUGUCAAGGUCUAAGGGACUUAAGCUUUUGGCACAGAGUUGUUGGAAGAAUGAACUUAACUCUAUUAAUACUGCAGUCACCUUGUCUAGUAAAAUAUUACGUAUGGAAAUUGGUAACAAGUGCUGCAUGAGAAUGUGAAAAUCAUGACUCUUCAUUGACUUGAGCUUUUGUUGUUUCAAGUCGACACAUCUUGAAAUGUUGCUAGCGUAUCCAUCGGGCAUUUUGACAUUCUUUAAAUUUCACAAAAAUAUGUCUUUCUUAAAUCCACUGUUCUUUGAAUUUAAAAGAGUGAACAAGACUGGACGAUAACUUUCAUUCUCAUCUGCCCAAAGUUCUUUCCUUAUACCCAUUUCUCUAAGAUCAUUCCGAGCUUUAAGAUUGUCUUUUGACUUUUCAGUAUUAUUGAGCAAAGUAUAUAUCACAUUCUCACACGCAUUCUUCUCAAUGUGCAUAAGGUCUAGAUUAUGAUGCAACAAGUUAGAUUCCCAAUAAAGAAGAUCAAAAAGUAUGCUUCUCUUUCUCCAUUGUUUCGGUCUAUCUUCAGCAAUAGUUUUUCCUCGAGUUCUUUUACCUUUAGCAUUCGACUCAGGUACUUUCCAAAACUAGCAUUGAUUCCCUCCAUUUGUUUCAAUUUGUCUGACCCUGAUAAUGCUAUUGGUGGCUCCCGUUGCUCAAUUUUCCCAUUAUAACGGACACGCUGCAAUCUAAACCAAUGGCCGCUUUCAAAAAAAUGACGAUGAACCAUGAAACACCAUUUUCUACUAUGCUUCAAUCGUCAAGAGUCUGUAUCAAAGUUACACGUGGAACAAGCAAACUGAGUGUAUGUGUUCCAUCCAGAUAAGGUGACAAGCCUAGAAAAAUCACUACUUGUCCACAUCAAGGCUACUCACAUUUUAAAAAUUUCAUUCUUUGAAGAGUCUAAUGUUUGCACUUCAUCGUACUACAAUUCUCUCAACUCUUGGAUAAGAGGAUGUAAGUACACGUCUAUGUCAUUGUCGAGCAUUUGUUUUCCUAAAAUGAUCAUUGAAAGAAUGAAUGAAGUUUGUUUCAUGCACUCCCAAGGAGGACGAUUGUAUGGAAUAAGAACCAUAGGCCAAAUACUAUAGUUUGUUUCCAUUGUUCUAAAAGGAUUGAAACCAUCACUAGAUAAGCCUAGUCGUACAUUCCUAGGAUCUACAUCAAAUUCAGGAUGAAGCAAGUCAAAUGCCUUCCAGGCCUGAGAAUCCCUUGGAUGCCUCAUCAAUCCAUCUUGGUUACCCGCAGAAGAAUGCCAUCUCAUAGACUCAGUAGUUUUAGAGUACAUGAACAAUAUUUGUAGCCUUGGCUUUAGUGGAAAGUACCACAAAAUCUUUGCGGGCUGCUUCUUUUUAUUGUCCUUCCACCUAAAUGUCUUGUACUUUUUGCAUUCUUGUAAGCCUUUAUCUCCCCCAAAAUAUAACAUACAAUCAUUUGGGCAAGCAUGUAUCUUAUUAUAAUUAAGACGAAGUUUGUUGAUGGCUUUUUUGGCCUCAUAAAAAGAAGAAAUCUUGGCAUCUUCAAAGGCAUCUUUUAAUAUUUCUAAUAUCAUACUCAUCGUUUUGUCAAUCAUUCGGCACAAACACUUGAUAUGAUACAAUUUGACUAGAAAGGACAAUUUAGAAUACUUCGCGCACCCUUCAUAUAAUGGUUGAUUGCCAUCUUCUACCAGCUCAUAGAACUGUACAUAUUCUUCAUUAUGCCCUUCAUUAAAUAUUUUUUCACUAUUGAUAGGCUCACAAAACACACUAGGCUCAUUGAUAUUGUUCCAUAUGAACCCAAAUGCAUUAUUAAUCAUGGUUACCAUUGGAUCUUGGGGGUGGAGAGUUUCUUCUAUGACAUGUGUUCUCUAAAACGUUUGUGGCAUAGUUGCAUUUGAUUCUUCACCAUGCAAAUACCAAACUUUAUAAUUUUUUGGAAAAGGCUUACAAGUCAGGUGUUCUUCAACUAUAUUUCUUCUUUGCCACUUGUUAAAACCACAUUUCGAAUGCAGACACUUAAUUACACGCCCAUCAAUAGACCCAUACUCAAAAGCAAAAUUUUUUAAGCCCAUCCGGAUAUUCAAGUGUAUUUUAUGGUUUGUUAAUCCAAGAUUUAUCAAUUGGCACGGCUAGAAAAGAAGAUAUAAGAAAACAUCACAAUAUCAAAAUGAAAAAGCUAGUUCAUAGCCACUAUAUGAAAAUCAAAAGAAUAGUAAUCACUUAAUCACACUUUUUAACUUCUGAAGAAUAUGUAAACGGAAACCAAAGCAAGAAAUAAACAAAGAAAAAAACUAUCACAACUAGAAUUUCCUAUUAUUCACAAAUCCGAUCCAAUUGUCAUCACCAACAACUACUCUACUAUCUACCUCAAUCCCAAAACUAGUCAGAAUCCUCAAACUUUACUCUGCUCUAUUGACCCAUUUUACAAAUCUGACUCAAUUGUCAACUGACUGGAAAAAAAAUGUUGAUUAAUGGAACUUCCUAUCCUUAAUAAAUCUGACCCAAUUGUCAAAUUACAAGAGAAAUGAAAAUUGCCAAUAAAAGGAGCUUCCUAUUUUUAUAAAUCUGAUUUAAUUCUCAGCAUCAACAACUACUACUAUGCCUUUAUCUCAUAUUACCAAUUAAUAUGAAUCCUCAAUAUCUAUUCACUCCAUUUGGAGAAAAUUGCAUAUAAAUUGAAAUAUGGGCAUAUGUAACUUCAAUUUUUAGAUUACAAAUUCAAUAAACUAGUGACAAAUGAGAGUUGUGUGCGGACUUUAUUGCCAAUUUAAGGAUUGAAGUCUCUAUAUAUAUAUAUAUAUAGAGAGAGAGAGAGAGUCUAGUUCUCCAUUUUCCAUUUCAAACACAAGUCAGUUUCAUUUUUAAUAUACUUCAAAGCUUCAAUUUAGUUCAAAAUCACCCUUUAUUUCAAUAUUUGUUACAUUGGGCUAAAGAAGAGUUUGGAUGCAAUCAUCCCAUGGGAGGUAUUACUAUUCCAUGCAGUGAAGAAAGAAUCAAUUUACCUUUAAAAAAAAAGAAAGUUGCUCAAAGAAAAGAUAAAGUUAAUUAUACCUAUCAAAUAUAACUUUGUCGACGUCGAUCCCAAUAGCUUUACCAGCUAUUUUAGAUUCCUCGGCUACCUAUCAAGGCCAUAAAUGAUAUUUAGGUUAAUAUUAACAAAACAAAAACUAAAAAUGUCAAAAUUUAAACAAACACAAACGUAAUUGAACAGAAAAGUAACAAAACUUGACAUAAAAAUAAAAGAAAAAUGAAAUAAAACUAUUAGCAGAAAUGGACAGCUAAACCAAUGAAAUCGACGUCCAAAUCAAUAAAUUUGACUACCAAACGGUGAAAUUGAUGGCUUAAGCAGUGAAUCGAUAGCUAAAAUCAGUGAUUUAAGCUGAUCUUCGUCCAAUACACACGCAUGCACACCUAAAAUCAAUAAAAUCAAUGGCUAAAUCAGCAAAAUCGAAACCUAAAUCAGUGAAAUUCACGGCUAAAAUCAGUGAUUUAAACUGAUAUCCAUCCAAUACACACACAUGCAAGCCUUAAAUAAGUGAAAUCAACGGCAUUUUGGAAGGAAUUACACAAACGACUUGAAACCGGAGACGUAUUGAAGCAAGUAUUUAUUAGAAAAAUGGCUAUUUAUAGACGAAUUCAAACACAUUACCUUAAACGUUGAAAUCUGAUCUCCUUACAUAAAAGCUAAAGGAUUUGGGAGAAUCGUUAAAGGAUAUGACCGUCUUACAUUAUUGUAAUCUCAAUAAUGAAUAUUGAUUUGGGGGAAUCGUUUAGGGCUUUAGAGAGAAAGAGAGAGAAGGUGUACCGUCUGUUUAGGGCUAUAGGAGUUUUAAUGAUAUUUAGUUAUCAUUAAAUAAAAAU
rnacentral:lncRNA from 1 species